AGUGAACGCUGGCGGUAGGCCUAACACAUGCACGUCGAACGGCAGCACAGUAAGAGCUUGCUCUUACGGGUGGCGAGUGGCGGACGGGUGAGGAAUACAUCGGAAUCUACUUUUUCGUGGGGGAUAACGUAGGGAAACUUACGCUAAUACCGCAUACGACCUACGGGUGAAAGCAGGGGAUCUUCGGACCUUGCGCGAUUGAAUGAGCCGAUGUCGGAUUAGCUAGUUGGCGGGGUAAAGGCCCACCAAGGCGACGAUCCGUAGCUGGUCUGAGAGGAUGAUCAGCCACACUGGAACUGAGACACGGUCCAGACUCCUACGGGAGGCAGCAGUGGGGAAUAUUGGACAAUGGGCGCAGGCCUGAUCCAGCCAUACCGCGUGGGUGAAGAAGGCCUUCGGGUUGUAAAGCCCUUUUGUUGGGAAAGAAAAGCAGCAGGUUAAUACCCCGCUGUUCUGACGGUACCCAAAGAAUAAGCACCGGCUAACUUCGUG
rnacentral:rRNA from 1 species